ACCCUGGAGGUCUAAUGGCUAAGGAUCCAGUGCUCUCACCACUAUGGCCUGGGUUUGAUUCCCGGGCAAGGAA